GAUGCAAGUUGUGAAGAUAUUGAGGUCCUUUUUAAUUUUUUCAGUUUAUGCAUUGAUGUUCUUUUAUGAAUUAAUAGGCUUGUGCUUGUGAGUCAUAUAAUGUGCAUAAUUUUUGUGUUACCUUGUCUCUUUCACUUUUAUGCAAUCUUAGAAGCCGCUUGCUUUCAAUUUAUCAUAUCCUUAUUAAAUCUUGUGACACUUAUCAUUUAGCUUAUUAUCUGCUUUUUCCCCAUUUUAGUUUCCAAACAAAUUGUUUGAUGGAUGAUAUGAUUUUCUGGUAUGUCCAAUACCCUUGAACUGCAGUUGCUUUGAAAGUUAAAUAAAAAAUGGGGCUACUGUGACAUAUAUCUCGAGUAGGAACCAUUAUUUUUUCAAUUUUUAUUUUCUAUUUUCUAGAUAUGCUUUUGAUGCUUAGUUAUCGGAGCUGUAGAUUAUUUGUUGCCAUUUGAUGGAUUUUUCUCACAUUUUCUGGCAUUACCAU
rnacentral:misc_RNA from 1 species